CCUUCCCUUGUCACCUCAGCGCUGUCACCUCAGGGCACGGGCUGGGCCCUCCCUGCUGCUUAUAGUCAUGUUAGGGCUCCAGCCCCACAAGCUGACCCAGAAACACCCCCAGGCCUACUGUAAGAAUGUCAUCCACAUAAAGACUUCCCACAGCUCAGCUUUGUCCAUUCAGGCACCGACACAACGGGCGGGCGGUGCUUUAUAUUUCCUCCAGAAAAGCAGACGCCAAUAGGGCUGAGUCCAGUUGCUAUGGAAAUGCAGAGUUAAGAGGGAUUUGCAUCCAGUAAAACAGCCAUGCAAAUAAAGCCUACCCUUUGACAAGGUGGUUCAAGGUCAGGGAGACCACUGGAAGGGAUCUGAGUGUAUGUGCAGUUUGGAAAUUCCAACACAUGGCAUUUGAAAUUACAUCACUUUGGUCUGCAUUCCUACAGUAAUGUGUGUGCAUUUUGAACACUGGCUUCAGCCAAACGAAAUACCUGGCUCCAGUUUAACCUGAAGCUUGCUGACCGGGUUGUCUUCUCCAAGGAGCUUCAUCUGUCUAUGGAGAGCAUCAAGGCGGAACGCAGUCUCCAAGCACGUGAAAGCAGCUCCUGCCCAAGAAACAACAUGUUAGUUGUGGGCCAAUGGCUGCAGAACUAGCACAGGUACUAAAUAAAGGUGACUGAAGAUAUGAGACAGCAACGGCAAAAGAGAAUCUCAGUAGUGUAAUAUCAGAAUUUGAGUACAGGUUCCUUGCAAUUCCUUGCAGUUGAUAACAAUGCACAAUACAUCCCACUCCGUAGGACCUCUCUUACAGCUGCAGCUGGGUAUGCUGCUCUUUUAACUGCAAUGUAGAACUCCAUGCUUCAUACCAGACUUGCCAGUGUAAUGCAGCUCGUUAAGGCAUCUUUCCUAUGCCUCUGCAUAUGUGCAACACUGUGGAAAAGAGAUUCCCAGAUGCAGUGGUUAAGUAUCUAGGACCAUUAAGGUCUUGGUUUUCCUCAGCAAGACCUCAAGAAUAGUGCUUGUUACAUAGAUACAAGCACAGUGUCUCAUUGUAUACACAGGAAUCUGAUACAAAGUAAAUGAGAAUUAAGGACCAGGACACAUCUGGAAGACAGAAGAAUCUGUACUGGGUGGAUGAAACAAGAAGAAAACAAGAACCCUGCAGAAUAACAAGUGCUUAGGGCAAUUACUUCAAGCUGUAAGCAGGGAGGAGAAUUAAGCAAGAUCCAAGAGGUGCGGUGGUCACUGGGCUCCAAUUUCUGUAAACAAUGUCAUUACAAAAAUGCCUUUUUAUUAAGUGCAGAAGAUAUGCCAGAAAUGAUGUCAGAAAUGGCAAGAUUUAGAUCAGAAGUUUGCUCUUGAUAUAAAGCAGAACACAAAAAGAGCUUAUUACAGAGUGGCACGGAGAAAAGCAUUGCUUAGUUUGCUGAAGUGCUUCUUGAAACAACCAGCCCUGAAUUCCAAGAGAACACAAAUGAGGACCUUGCCUUAUGUCAGAGACACAGCCUCAAAUGGGACACAAAACAGUUCUUCUGAACAAUUCAUAUUGCUGCCGUACAGAAUACGACGUGAGGCACUAGAAAGUCAUAACCACUGAGAAUCACUCAACAUAAAGCAGCUUACAUAAAACACAGUAAUGGCUCCAUAGGUGCUUUCCUUCUAAAUUUCAUUAUUAUCAUCUCCAAAAACAAUAUACACAACUAAAAAUUAACAGACUCCGUAAGCGCACUUGCUGCCAGCAUUUCCAGGAAGAUGAAACAGAACAAGAUCAUUUCCACAGGACACAUGAAAAUACACAUAGUGCAAGCUUUUAAGAACAUAAUGGGACAAACUAGAGAAACAUAUACUUCUAUUACUCAUUUCAAUUACUAAACUGAAAGGCAAUAGGAAUGAUUUACUGCUUAUAUUUGCUAUAGAUGGUACCAUACAGUUGACCUGUUAAUUUCACUGAUGCAAGCAGCUAAAGUAGAGCUCUGCAAUCCUACAAGAAGCCUCUGGUAGCUUAGCAGACAGCUACAUAGUUGUGUCUGUUGCAUUUGAUAAUGGCUACUACCCUCAUUCCUUCCUGCAGUAGAUAACUACCAACUGACCAGGUAUAGACAGACUGUAAGCACUCAUGAUGCUCCAAGCAGAGUUUGGGACUGCUCAUGUUCCACAACAGCAACAACAACUAAAAUAACCCAGCUCCCAACACAUCCUUGAGCUCCCAAGGAAACAGAUCUCAAUUGUUGGUUUGACACAUCACAAGGAAAAGCCUCUCUUACCAUAGGUCUCAGUGGUGAUCCGGCGCUGCGCGUACGUGGCCAGCCCUUCACUCAGCCACAUCUCCUCCCACGUAGCGUUGGUGACCGCGUUUCCAAACCAGCUGUGGGCAACUUCAUGAAUGACAUCAAUGAUUAAAAACUCAUCGCUCUCCAGAAUGGAAGAAAUGAUGAAAGUCAGGCAUGGGUUUUCCAUGGCAACAAUAGGGAAGGAUGGAGGAAGAAAAACAAUGUCAUAUCUAAAAUUAAAGGGAGAGAAAGAGUACAGCAGUAAAUUACAGCUAUUUCAAAAGACACACAGAAACAUACAUGUGUAUUUUUCCCCCUUACACAAAGCUCUUCUAAGAGAUCUUGAAACAGAAGCAAAUCUCUAGACCACUGGUACCUACUUGAUGUUCUGAUCUGGGAACCACAUUCUGUUCCCUUGGCCAAAGAGCUGCUCAUGCUUGGACGUAAGGCUGGAAGCCUGCAGCUGCAGCAUGCCCUGCCCUUCCCAGAAGCAUCACACUCCUUUCACACAUACAAACUCACCACAAGUUGUGCAUCUGACCACCAGAACCACGAUCUUUACAUACACUGCCCACAUACACAUGCAGAUCUUUACGACUCCCCCAGAGGCUCCCAGGAAACAGAUGCCGGGAUUCUCUUUUAAGACACAGUCAAGCUUAACUUCAGAAAAUAUUAGUGUUGGUGCUAUGGUUCCAAGUCCGUAAUGAACCAUUUCAGCAUUUUCAGGCAUAAUGCAAAAAACAUAAAGCAACAAGACAGCAUCUUUGAUUCUCAGGGAAGGCCAACUGUUCAGAACCCCCGCUGCUCACCAUACUAGCAAAGUACCGCCAUGCUCCCAUGGUCCUCAUUCUCAUUAUCUUGUUCCCAUCACACGUUCCCAGGAGACCUAUGAAACUCACCUUCCCCAAAUAUAUGGGCCAUACAGGCUCUCUGCAGCAGUCAACCAGCGCUCAACCAUGCCAGAAAGCUUGCUGAUGGCAGUUGGCAGCAGGCAGGGCUCUGCCCACACUCUGCUCCUGUCAGAAAGCACAAAACAUCAGGUGAUACUUCAACAAACGGAGUUAUCUCUCAGAAAUAACAGCCUGCUUCCACAGCACAUGUCCACAAAUGGUCAUAGUGCUAAAAGGCUUCAGCCUUCUUUAGGCCAAGCUGCAAACCUUACCUUGGACCUAUAUCUGCGUGUAUAAGGUCUCCUGCCACCAGGGCCACGAGGUAGGCAGGAACUGGAUAUUCCAUGUAGAAUUGAUACACUCCUUCGUCUUCUAGGAAGGUGCUUUGAGUGGCGCUCAUCAACACCUGCAUGCCCGCUGGAGCCUGGAAGACCAACAUCGUAACACCAGCGGAUGGGAUGAGCAAGGCUGAAGGACUACAGCACAGAUCUCUCUGCUUCAGAUGUACGAUUUUUGCCUCGGCGAGACAUUCUGCAAACAUGCUAAGGCUACAAAAUGCCCAAGUCGACAAAGACAUGCAACGCUGACCACUCGAUAAGUCACGGCUAUUACAGGAGCGACCAUGCCCACCUGGGCCACAGGUCCCGUGGGACGGGGAUGGCAUACAGUGACCGUGGCAACGCACUACACAGGCCCUAGUAACCUGAGGUAGGUCUCUUCACAGUAAUGAAACAACAUCCUACACCAGUGUUCCAUCCCGAUCAGCAGGAACCCCAUUGAAGUUCCAGUAGAGGUGGAGUGGGGGGGGCUGUUCCCUUAACAAGUGUGCAAUAAAGAAAUGGGACAUACUGAUGUUGUUUAAGUAUACGUGAGCGGGACAAAGAGUUAGUGUUACUCGUGCCGGUGAAAGCCAACCUAAACCUCUGAGGAGUGUUAGCAGCUUCAAGAUACAGGAGUCAGUCAGCUGGAGCAACUUGGGAAAGGCUUUCCUGCCAGCAUAAUGGUCGGAACCUUAGGGUUAAUUUGUUACAGAUCAUUCCAUAAACAGUUACAUUCUGGUUGCGUUAGAUCAGCGAAGCAGAAAGAGCAUAAACCCUGCUGAUACAGUGAGAAAUACUGCAUCAGGACACUGAGAAAAUACCAGGCCUUAAUGUGACCCAGAAGUGGUUUUGCACUCAGGAGGUCACUACAAACCCUGCUUUGGGAAAGCGUUAUGGCAAGCAGCAGCUGCUGCCGCAGUGAACAUUAGCAAUGCUCCAAAUAGCUUUGAUAAGUUACAAUGCAAUAGAGUUACACCACAGUGCUCUUCUUCCCUGUGCUAGACGACAAUGAUGUGACAAUAAAGGACACUAUUGCAAAGCUUCACUUCCACUCAGACACGCAGAAAAUCUGGCACUAGGAAAAGACAACUGUAAGAGACAAAAUGGCGUCUGAUACAGCCCGGUAACAAAGCCAGAUCUCCGGUACCAUAAACUGUACAAAAAUGAUAGAAAAGAAUAUGCACUGUUAUUAAUACAGUGCUUAUUUUAAUAUAAAAUAAACAGCUUACAUUUCCACUGUAAAUAUAGGCUAUAUACAGAAUUAUGUAUAGAUAUAGCUACAUGUAUAAAGCUUCAUUAUAGGCCUCUGAUACAUUUAUAACUAUGGCUCCCUGAGCCAUUUGUAGAGUGCAUUUAAUAACAAAAAACAAAUUAGUAACGUGAUUAAUGGAAUAAAUACAGUAAUAAAAACAUGAGGAAUUCUGACACGGGUUUAAAAACUCUCUGGCUUGACGUACUGUGCUAAAAAAUAAAAGAUGAAAAGGCAAUAAAUCUGCUUGGAGGAGGAGGGAGAGCUGGCCCUGCCACAGGCAGGGAGUGGAGCUCUCCAAGAUUAAAGUGACUUUGCCCUGAAUUUUAGCCCUUGACAGCGACCUUGUUCUCUGCAGCAGCAAACAUAGCAUAGAAGCGCGAGUUCUCAUUGGCCAGAAGGGCAGACGGCGUGUCGAAUUCCACUACCUAAAAACAAACAAAGCAGGUAAAGCAGGUUAGAGGAAGCCAGCAGAAGGUGGAUUCCCAUUCACAUCCCCUUGGACUUGUAACAUGGCAGUAAAGAAGCCAAAACUUGGCAGUCUUUAGAUGAGACAAUAGUGAAAGCAUCUACAAUUACUGAUGCUUUUGGAGAAUUACAAUCAAGGGCGUGAAGGAACACAGAGGAUUUUCUACAGCUGUUCCUUCAGUUUAGUCUAUAUUCAGGUGGCUAAACUGCAGCAGGGACUGAAGCCAUAAAAGACUUUCUGCUUACCUGUCCUUGAGUUAGCACCAUGAUCCGAUCGGAACCCAGUACAGUAUGCAGGCGAUGAGCAAUCGUUAACAUAGUGCAGUCGGCAAAUGCCUCUCUGAUGGUCUCCUGAAUCAGCAGGUCGGUCUCUGUGUCCAUAGCAGCUGUUGCUUCAUCCAGUAUCAAAAUCUGAAAGAAGUGCAGAAUCCUGGCUGUUACUUCACAGUGACUCCAUCCCUUCCUGAACACUGAAAUGUGCAGAAUUGCCAUCUGUGGUAACUCCCAUUCACAGUAAUCUUUAGAGCUGUGGUCACAAAGCACCAUUUCCCCCUACAUCACGAGUAUCUGUUGGUGCCGUUCCUACACUAGUUGGAAUAAAUCUGACUGGGAAAAAAUAGCCAUUUCUCACUGCUACCUGUUUGAUGUCACCAGCUAUUUCUCCCACCCAGAAGCUCACCUUGCAGCGACGCAGCAGAGCUCGAGCGAUGCACAGUAACUGCCUCUCUCCAACUGAAAAGUUUUCCCCAUUUUCCAUUACUUCUGAGUCGAGUUUCAUGGGCAGCUGGGCAACCUGCGUGGGAAAGAAGAGAGGAAAAAAGCUUUAGAGCUGAACAGGCCUUUAGUGCAGACCUCACAGACAUCACAAUACUUACACACUCCUUCAUGUGAGUCCUUUCCAAAGCAACCCAGAUUUGCUCCUCGCUGUAUUGAUUGAAAGGAUCCAAGUUUGAUCUGGAGGGGGAAGCAGAAAGUGUAACCAGAAUCUGUUCUUCAGCAGUGAAUGGCAAAACAGCGGUGAACUGAUUUGUCCAGAUGGACAGUUCCCAUCUAACACCCCACUAAGAGAAUUUCCUUGCCAAGGAAAUCAGAUGUUCCCACUAUUAGUAGCCCAGAAUCUACGGAGUAAAAACAGAAGACAAAAGAUGCACAAAAUUUCUAGCAAACCUAAAGGAAAAGCAGGAGUUCCACAAAGGAUGAUCACUGAGAUGAUGCUACAUGGAGUCACCUAAAACCAUUAACCUGUGUUUUUUGCUCUGUUGUAAAAACAGAACAGAAGCCAGAAUGCCUUUGUCUUAUUCACAAACUAACAUCUCAUUCCACUACAGUAUGAGCUGGAAGCUGCCAUUUUCCUUCCUGACUUGUCAUGGUUCACUGACCUUACGGUGCCACUGAACAGCACAGGUUCCUGAGGGAUUAUUGAGAGUUUGCUGCGAAGAUCCGCCAAACCAAUGUCAUUGAUUUUCACUCCAUCAAUUUUAAUGCAGCCUCCAGACAGUUCAACCAAACGAAAAAGUGCCAUUCCAAGGGAAGACUUGCCUAAAAACGAGACAGAAAAAUAUACCAGUGUAGAAACCAGCAUCAGAAUCUUAAACAUUUGAGACAAGGCAGCAUUUGGAAACCUGUCCUUAUUAAGUCAAAGAAGCUGAAGCACUUACCUAGACACAGCAUGCAGAACCAUGAACAGGACAAUGAGGGGACCCACUGCCACCAGGAACCAAGGGAAUACCCCUGAAAUCACCCCCACGCAGAAGAACACGAGGAUAACGUUUUGGAUGAACAUUUCUGCUUGAAACGGCAAACGAACAUCCACUGGAAAAGAUGAAGGGAAGAGAUGAACAUUUUGAGGACAGAAGGCUAAAACAACCCAUAUAAAGCAAUUCAGUCCAGCUGUACAUCAUCACUGACAGGAACAGUGAUGAUUUCUCAUGGCUUUUUCAAAUGUAAGAUGUACAUCAUCACUGGGUUGCUUUUAUUUUCUUAAACACUAGUAGUUUUUCCAAUUAUUUCCAUUAAGAGAAAUAGCACAGAUGCAGCUCUGACCUAAUUACCACCUUUCCUGCACGUGAACUUCACCCUGAUACUCCAAGGUUGGCCUGCAUUAACUGCUAAGAGUCUACAUGCAGACUGCAGGUGUAAAAGCAGCUAUGCAUUUUCUACCUUGUAAGUGGACAGACAGACCCAGGAUAUCAGCUGCCUCCUACAAGCAGAACCCUGGCAUGUCCCAGUUCCUGCUGAGUCUAUUACAAGUCUAUUGCUCUACAAGAGAGACAGAGGUGGAAUCCACACUGACAUACCUUCAUCCAUGUCUUUGGAAAACCUAUUGAGGAUCCGUCCAGUAGGUGUAGUAUCAAAGAACUUCAUGGGGCUACGCAGAAUCCGCCUGAAGAGCUCGUCAUGGAGCCUUGAGGAUGCUCUGAGAGUUCCCU